CGAAGUGAGUGGCGAACGGGUGAGUAACACGUGGGUAACCUGCCCAGAAGUAGGGGAUAACACCUGGAAACAGAUGCUAAUACCGUAUAACAGAGAAAACCGCAUGGUUUUCUUUUAAAAGAUGGCUCUGCUAUCACUUCUGGAUGGACCCGCGGCGUAUUAGCUAGUUGGUGAGGUAAAGGCUCACCAAGGCAGUGAUACGUAGCCGACCUGAGAGGGUAAUCGGCCACAUUGGGACUGAGACACGGCCCAGACUCCUACGGGAGGCAGCAGUAGGGAAUCUUCCACAAUGGACGCAAGUCUGAUGGAGCAACGCCGCGUGAGUGAAGAAGGGUUUCGGCUCGUAAAGCUCUGUUGUUAAAGAAGAACGUGGGUAAGAGUAACUGUUUACCCAGUGACGGUAUUUAACCAGAAAGCCACGGCUAACUACGUGCCAGCAGCCGCGGUAAUACGUAGGUGGCAAGCGUUAUCCGGAUUUAUUGGGCGUAAAGCGAGCGCAGGCGGUCUUUUAAGUCUAAUGUGAAAGCCUUCGGCUCAACCGAAGAAGUGCAUUGGAAACUGGGAGACUUGAGUGCAGAAGAGGACAGUGGAACUCCAUGUGUAGCGGUGAAAUGCGUAGAUAUAUGGAAGAACACCAGUGGCGAAGGCGGCUGUCUGGUCUGCAACUGACGCUGAGGCUCGAAAGCAUGGGUAGCGAACAGGAUUAGAUACCCUGGUAGUCCAUGCCGUAAACGAUGAUUACUAAGUGUUGGAGGGUUUCCGCCCUUCAGUGCUGCAGCUAACGCAUUAAGUAAUCCGCCUGGGGAGUACGACCGCAAGGUUGAAACUCAAAAGAAUUGACGGGGGCCCGCACAAGCGGUGGAGCAUGUGGUUUAAUUCGAAGCUACGCGAAGAACCUUACCAGGUCUUGACAUCUUCUGACAGUCUAAGAGAUUAGAGGUUCCCUUCGGGGACAGAAUGACAGGUGGUGCAUGGUUGUCGUCAGCUCGUGUCGUGAGAUGUUGGGUUAAGUCCCGCAACGAGCGCAACCCUUAUUACUAGUUGCCAGCAUUAAGUUGGGCACUCUAGUGAGACUGCCGGUGACAAACCGGAGGAAGGUGGGGACGACGUCAAAUCAUCAUGCCCCUUAUGACCUGGGCUACACACGUGCUACAAUGGAUGGUACAACGAGUCGCGAGACCGCGAGGUUAAGCUAAUCUCUUAAAACCAUUCUCAGUUCGGACUGUAGGCUGCAACUCGCCUACACGAAGUCGGAAUCGCUAGUAAUCGCGGAUCAGCAUGCCGCGGUGAAUACGUUCCCGGGCCUUGUACACACCGCCCGUCACACCAUGAGAGUUUGUAACACCCAAAGCCGGUGG
rnacentral:rRNA from 1 species